rnacentral:rRNA from 1 species
GACGAACGCUGGCGGCGUGCCUAAUACAUGCAAGUCGAGCGAGACUCUUCGGAGUCUAGCGGCGGACGGGUGAGUAACACGUGGGCAACCUGCCUGUAAGACUGGGAUAACACCGGGAAACCGGUGCUAAUACCGGAUAAUCCUUUUCCUCUCACGAGGAAAGGCUGAAAGUCGGUUUCGGCUGACACUUACAGAUGGGCCCGCGGCGCAUUAGCUAGUUGGUGAGGUAACGGCUCACCAAGGCGACGAUGCGUAGCAGACCUGAGAGGGUGAUCGGCCACACUGGGACUGAGACACGGACGAGACUCCGACGGGAGGCAGCAGUAGGGAAUCUUCCAAAAUGGACGAAAGUCUGAUGGAGCAACGCCGCGUGAGCGAUGAAGGUCUUAGGAUUGUAAACCUCUGUCAGGAAGCAUUAAAUGCACGGGUAUCAACACCAUCCGUGCUUGACUUAACUUCCAGAGGAAGCCCCGGCUAACUACGUGCCAGCCGCCGCCGUAAUAC